GGAAUAACAGUGAGAAAUUCAUUGCUAAUACCGCAUAUGCCAUAGUUAUCGCAUGAUGAUAGUGGGAAAGGAGCAGUCCGCUAAUAGAUGAGCUUGCGUCUGAUUAGCUAGUUGGUGGGGUAACGGCCUACCAAGGCGACGAUCAGUAGCCGGACUGAGAGGUUGAACGGCCACAUUGGGACUGAGAUACGGCCCAGACUCCUACGGGAGGCAGCAGUCGGGAAUAUUGCGCAAUGGAGGAAACUCUGACGCAGUGACGCCGCGUAUAGGAUGAAGGUUUUCGGAUUGUAAACUAUUGUCGUUAGGGAAGAUAAAAGACAGUACCUAAGGAGGAAGCUCCGGCUAACUACGUGCCAGCAGCCGCGGUAAUACGUAGGGAGCGAGCGUUAUCCGGAUUUAUUGGGUGUAAAGGGUGCGUAGACGGGAAAUUAAGUUAGUUGUGAAAUCCCUCGGCUUAACUGAGGAACUGCAACUAAAACUGGUUUUCUUGAGUGCGGGAGAGGAAAGUGGAAUUCCUAGUGUAGCGGUGAAAUGCGUAGAUAUUAGGAGGAACACCAGUGGCGAAGGCGACUUUCUGGACCGUAACUGACGUUGAGGCACGAAAGUGUGGGGAGCAAACAGGAUUAGAUACCCUGGUAGUCCACACUGUAAACGAUGAUAACUCGCUGUGGGCGAUACACAGUCGGGGGCCAAGCGAAAGCGAUAAGUUAUCCACUUGGGGAGUACGACCGCAAGGUUGAAACUCAAAGGAAUUGACGGGGGCCCGCACAAGCGGAGGAACAUGUGGUUUAAUUCGAUGAUACGCGAGGAACCUUACCCGGGCUCGAACGGCAAGUGAACGACACAGAGAUGUGAAGGUCCUUCGGGACACUUGUCGAGGUGCUGCAUGGUUGUCGUCAGCUCGUGCCGUGAGGUGUCGGCUUAAGUGCCAUAACGAGCGCAACCCUUGCCAUUAGUUACCAGCAUGUAAUGAUGGGAACUCAAAUCAGACUGCCGCGGAGAACGCGGAGGAAGGCGGGGAUGACGUCAAGUCAUCAUGCCCCUUGUGUCCUGGGCUACACACGUACUACAAUGGGAUGGACAGAGAGCAGCGAUACCGCGAGGUAAAGCGAACCCCAUAAACCAUCUCCCAGUUCGGAUUGGAGGCUGCAACCCGCCUCCAUGAAGUCGGAAUCGCUAGUAAUCGCAGGUCAGCAUACUGCGGUGAAUACGUUCCCGGGCCUUGUACUCACCGCCCGUCA
rnacentral:rRNA from 1 species